CUUUCAGGUGACCAGCAGCCACCUAUCCAUUCUCCAAGACCAGAAAGGCAGCAGCAGCCCCCGGGAGUCCCGGGCUGUCCUCGGUGCGUCCGGCUGCAGAGGGAAAUUGAGGACCUUAGAGACCAACUAGCGGCCAUGCAGUUCCUCACUGACAAGUUCCAGGAGCUUUGAAGUUGGAGCCAGCAUCUUCCUACAAGAUGAACACCUGCCAACUUUGGAGCUCCAGAGCUGCAGCCAAGCGGGUUCCCUCCGUAUCCUCUUCAGCCAGGACUUCCUCUCUUCCACUGCAUUUGCCCCCUUCCCAAUGUAGUUCAAAGCAGUUUGAAAUGAAGUCGUUCUCAUA